rnacentral:lncRNA from 1 species
GUAGCUGUGGGCAGGAGAUACCUCAGCAUGGGCCUUUGUGUAGAAAGCUGGAUUGUCUUCAGGACACAGCAGGUGGUUUCCUCCACAGGGAGUGAUCCAUGGGAGAUCAUUUUUAUGACCUAACGUCCCAAGUUACAUCCUAUCACUUCCACUUUGUUCUGUUUCUUCAAAGAGAAGUGAGUCACUCAGUCAAACCUACAUUCAAGGGGAGGGCAGUUAGGUUGUACUUUGGUAGGGGGAGUAUCAGUGCUCAGUGUUGACCUAACUGCCAAAGAAUCUCUAUUACACAGUUUACUUCUAGCCCUACGUGUACACCCUGAGCUGUGGUAUAGGUCUCAGAUGUGGCUCAGAUCCCGCAUUGCUGUGGCUGUGGCAUAGGCCAGCGGCUACAGCUCCAAUUCGACCCCUAACCUGGGAACCUCCAUAUGCUGCAGGUGCAGCCCUAAAAAAGAAAGAAAGAAAGAAAGGGUUCAGAAGACCAGUACUAUUGAGAACAGCUUCAAAAAGAGGAAGAUUCCUCAGCGGACCUGCCCUCUAACAUUUGUAGGGCUCAGGGCAAGAUAAAUGCAGGCCUACAUACCCCAUGUCUCAAUAUUAAAAAGUUAUAAAUCAGGCUAACAAACAGUUAAAUAUUCUCUGUCUUCUUACUCUCUUACUUUGACAAAUAUACAUUUAUAAUGACAAAAUGAAAAAAUAUAUGGAAAGCUAUGGUUCUAUGGCUGAAAGUCAACAAAAUAUCUAAUGACUGGAUUUAGUUAUUGUAAACAUUUGGAUAUUCUGUUGUUGGGUUGGUUAUGUUUACAUGAAUAAUAAAAUUAAGUUAUUUACAAUUAAUAAAUUAUUAAUGAAUCCAUAAAAUUUACUUUAUUGCCUUCGUUACUGCAAGAUCUCUAGUCUUAUUUUCACAACAAAGAUUUUCAGGUAACUUUUUUUUUUUUUUUUUUUUUUUUUUUUUUUGUCUUUUUGCUGUUUCUUUGGGCCGCUCCUGCGGCAUAUGGAGGUUCCCAGGCUAGGGGUCGAAUCGGAUCUGUAGCUACCAGCCUACGCCAGAGCCACAGCAACGCGGGAUCCAAGCCGCGUCUGCAACCUACACCACAGCUCACGGCAACGCCGGAUCGUUAACCCACUGAGCAAGGGCAGGGACCGAACCCACAACCUCAUGGUUCCUAGUCGGAUUCGUUAACCACUGCGCCACGACGGGAACUCCUCAGGUAACUUUUUUUACUGAGUUUUGAAAUCUAAACUUUAGAUUUAAAAGUAUUAAAAGUGAAAUGUAAUUUUAUUCAAAGUGUACACAGUUUGACUAUAUUUUCAUCACAAGUGUAAAUUAAACAUAUACAUGACAAGAUAAAAACUUUUUGUUUUCAAAACAAUUUUUUCUCAAAUCUUCAAUUUCUAUAAAACAAAAGGUAAAAUCUGACAUAUAAUUAAUAUAAUUAAUGAACGGAAAAUUUAAAUCGAAAUCGUUUAAAUGAAGCUGGAAUUUUGGGGGGAUUUAAAUUUAAUUACAUUUAAUUAAAUCUUUAUAAAGAUGAAACUAUUAGCAAUUUAAUGCUCAGUGUUGAUCUAAUUGCCAACACAUUGCUAUCACACAGUUUACUUCUAGGCCUACAUGUAUUUAACCUCAGGAAUAAUAGGACUUGUUUAGUAUUACAGAAUGAUCUUCUGCUACAAUGUGCAAGUGUUGGGAAUAUCAUGCUAUUAGGUGGAUACUUUUGGAACCAAGAAUUAGAACACAAAAAGAAGCCACAAAAUGGAAACUUGGAACCAUUUGGUAGUGGUACCUCAUUAUCUUGCAUUCAUGCUAAGAAGAGAGACUUGACAAGUUGGUUAAUUUAAUCUUUUUCUUACCUACGUGCUUCUGCUGCCCAACUCUCCCUGUUCCCCAGAGAAGCGUCCUCUGAGCUUGGCAGCAUCACGGUCCAGAAGCACCCUUCACACCCUCAGGAGGAAGCCACUUUGGGUUGGAAACACAAAGCAGGAGAUGUGGAGAGGCAUCCCCCUGGAGCCAGAAUACCGCUCCUCCCAAGAGCGGAUAUUUAGGGCGACUUGAGGUCCUGGGCAGCCUUGCGCGUCAAAUUCCAAGUGACCACGUGUCUGCUGAAACUUUCUUUUGUAUGUGUUUGUGGCACCCAUGACUCCCCAAAGGGCAAAGCCCAGGCUCCAAGGCCAGUGCUGUUCGUGAGCAUCACCUGUGAGUGAUUCAGGGUCCUCCAGUCUGCAGCAGCGGGGUUACAUGUGGGGUUGAGAUGCUGGGUGGGGGUGGGUGUUGGAGGGAGAGGCUGUCAGCGUGAAGACCUUCCUUGUGAACAUUUCCUUGUUGAGAAAUAGUCUGGUUUUAAUAAAGCCUCCAGACUCCACCAGGAGAAAAUGAAAGCUUACAAGGGUCUCAAUGAAUACGUGACAAAGUAGAGGCGGAAAGGAAACUGGGAGGAAAUGAGGUGCAACACAAGGGAGUGAUGUGUUGGAAAGGGGGAAUGAAAACCAGUCAAGAAUGGAAACACCUGAAAAGCCGUUCUGGAAACUUCACUCACUCCUUGUGUACAGGAGGCCUGCUCCUCUGAGUACUGACCUUGCUCACCUUUGCAGAGAGGGCACCACGGAGCUGUUUUCUAUUAACGCUGAAGUACUCUGAGACUUUGGAAAUCUUCAAGGGCAAGCUCAGGAUCAGAGAACAAUAAAAACUAACUAACUAACUAUCUAAAUAAAUAUUUAAAUAAAUAGCCAGCUUGCCUGAGCUGCCACUCAGAUCUUCCCUGUACCGUGCAGAAGCAAAGAGCUAAACAGUGAUUUUGGUUUUGUGGUUAAAGUCAACUACUAGGCAGCUUCUUAAGUGGUUCAUGACUGCCCAUGUUUUAUCCUUAUAAUUGAAACAAUAUUUCCCGCUUUUCUGAGAGUAAUACUUUUAAAGGUGGGGUCUCUAACCUCGGGGACAGCCUGGUUCCCACAGGGUUACACUGUUCUCAGAAUGACAGGGGACACAGAAUAGAUGGGUCACACUGAAGGUUGCAGGAUGGGGACUUUGCUUGUGAGGCUACCUCGGCCACUAGGGAAGGCAAGGCCCUGGACUGCCUCUGAGUCUUGAUGGAUUUGGAAUGACUUUAUGGUUUUUAAUUUUUUAAAUUUAUGUAUUUAUAUUUGGUGGCCCUGUGGCAUUUGGAAUUCCUGGGCCAGGGAUCAGAUCCAAGCUGCAGUUGUGACCCAAGCCACAGCUGCAGCAAAGCUGGAUCCUUAACCCACUGUGUGGGGCUGGGGAUCGAACUUGCAUCCCAGGGUUCUCAAGAUACCGCUGGUCCCGUUGCAUCACAGCAGGAACUCCUGGAAAGAAUUUAAAUUUAAUGAUUAAUCAAUGGGAAUAAGAUAGGCGGGGACUUGGGAACAUGUUCUUCUCUGUGGGUAACAACAGGAAUGACAAGGUCAAUUGCAGUUAAGUCUACACAGUCAGAAACUUAUGAACUCUCUCACCCAGACUCCCAGAGUUGAUGUCACUGGCUUGCUGGAUGGCUGCAUCAUAAACAACGUUGUGGUGAGAUCAUUAUUUAUUAAUGAUCAUAGCGAUAAUAACACUAUGCUGCAAACGUAUUUUAGGGCAAUACAUCUCAUUAAGUGCUCAAUAAAUACUUGUUGAAUAAAUACCUAUCCAUCAGUUGGCUCAACAGAUGUUUGCUGAGUACCUGUUAUGAGAAAGGUGCUGGGUCCCCAUGCAAAAAUGAAUUUGUCACAGUUGGAACCUUCCAAGAGACUGCAAUUUUGCCAAUAUUAUGCCAAUGAGUGGAUGACCCAAAACGUUUUCGUUUUUACAUAGAGGAUUUUGAAUGUGAUUUUUGGAAAAAGCCAGUAGAGAACUCAGAGAGUGUACUUGAAACUUGUAAUUUAUUUUUUAACUUAUAUAUCCCCAGUAACUGUGUUGAUUAUAAUAUAACCAGAAACCAAACAUCAAAAAUCCUAUCUCACACAUGCUCCAGGAUGCCAAAAGUAUCACUUUGCAUUUAGAAGAGUAUUUUCCACGGCAUUUAAAAAAGAGUUACAAUAAGGAAAAAGAAUAUGUAUGACUUCAGAUGGCAGGAAAGGGGGUCCUACUUAGCUUUCAACUUAUGCAACUUCCUCACUGAUGACUGAGAGAAAAAUAAAGAAGCAAGAAAUAGUCAAUAAAGAGUAAGGCAGGAAGUGUGUGGUGACCGGAGUCCCAGGAGGGUUAAGCAUGCUGGUGCCACUAAGGAAACAAAUCUCUAAGGCAGUUAAAGUCUUCCUGCUUGUCACAUGCUCCCAAACAGAGCACAGUGCAGUGGUUUAAAUGUGUAGGUUUAAAGGAGUGCAAAGAAAUAGAGAAAUAAGGACAUGAAAGCUUUAUAGUAUAGAGUGAAUGAGGCUCACUUAUCUGUCCCCAGGCAGUGCUUUUCACUAUCUGGGUGGCUGGGGGAUUUGGAGUCUCUGCCGGCUCUCAGACGACAUUACACACACAUCAUCUCAUUUAAUACAACACCAUGAAGUGUUAUUAAACCCGUUCUACUGAGGGAUGAGAAUACUCAACUGAGACCUAGAGAAUGUGUUUGUCCAGGGUUCCAAAGGUAAGAAGGGGCAGAGCAACAUUUGAAACCAAAGUUGAUCUGACUCCAGGGCUCAUGCUGCAAAGCACAGAGCUAUGCUCUCAUGCUCUACAUUCUCCCCUAAGGGCAUUUAUACAUGAGAGGUUGGUUCAAAUAUGAAGCAGAAUACAUUAAAUGUCAAAUGAACGGUGUAAACCAUCAGUGCUGGCGAGAUGGGGUGGUAGAGGUGAUGAGGUGGCAAAGGGAGCCUUCUUGAACAAGGUGGAAUUUACAUCUGGUUUCUGAAGAGGGGGAAUGCACUUAGAUUGAGAGGGGAAGGAUUGUGUAGGAACAAUAAGAUGUCCUAUUUUACCAUCCAGCUCCUCUUGACUGGCACUAAUGAACAUGAAAGGUUUCAACAAAAAUACAUGGAGUGCUUACUGUGUGAAGGGCAUUAUUUGUUUUGUUCCUUUAAAGCAUUUUAGCAUACUUUAAAAGAGGAACUGGUUAAUCUCCAGCAUCUAGAUCCAUUAGACCCUGAGCCAGAUGGCUCCAUGGGGCCUUUGGGAAUGGCCAGUGCAACAGUCUCUACUUUUGCACAUAUUCAUGAAAAGAAUGGCCCCUGGGGAAUUUCAUAGACCUGCAAUCUGGAGAUAAUGUAAUUCUGAUCAUAACUCAGGGGCCCCCAGAUAUGGGGUUGCCAGAUUUAGCAAAUAAAAAUACAAGAGCCUCAGUUAAAUUUGAAUUUCAGAUAAACAACAAAUGAUCUCCUUAGUACAAGUAUGUCCCAAAUAUUGAAUGGGGCAUACUUAUACUAAAAGAGGUAUUUGUUGUUUAUCUGAAAUUCAGAUUUAACCAGGCCCCUGCAUUGUAUCUGGCAACCAUAGUAAGAUAGGAAUUAGAGGGAAAAUUCUGAGAUUUGAAUUUUUGGUCAUAUAUAAAUACUCCUCUGUUUGAAAACAUUAACUAAA